GGGCCAUUGUACUCCAGUCUGGGUGACAAAGUGAGACUCUGUCUCCAAAAAAAGAAAUACUUAAAUAUCUAUGUGCUAAGUAGAUUACUGCUUGGUAGUGAAAUUCUGAUAAUUUUCAGAAUUAGUUUCAGACAACUGUGUAGUAUAGUGUAAAAAAUAAGGCUUAGAAUUCACAAGUAAUUCACAUGAGUUCUGAGGUGAAAUUUGACCAAAAGCUAAAGAAUUACUCUGAGUCUACCUUUGGGCAAAUAUAUGAUUCGGUGGUAUAUCUAGACAUACAAAAGUUCUAAUUGGAUUCAUAGAAAACCAGUUUAAGCUGUGGCUUUGUACAACUUGAAACAUAAAAGAUAAUGCUUUGGAUUUGAAAUUAUUGACAUAUCUGUAUUAUCCAGUAUAGACCUGAAGGAACAUUUCAGGAGAAAACAAUGCAUAAAGAAUAGGAAACUACUGGGACUAUAAUAACAAUUUGUUUGAGUGUUUUAAAAAGUAGAAAUUAUUUUUACAAAUAGACCUCUUUGAGUCUGUUUGUGGUAGCCAUGCUUAUGCAACAUAAGUACCAAAUAAUAAUGAUGUAGUCCAAGGUCACAACUGUGGAAAGACACAGGAAGUGACUGACCUCUUAGAUCCAAGCACCUGCUGCACAGUGGUAACAGAAAUGAGAUGUCAGUAGACAAGUCGACUUUAUCUAAUAUGUCCAUAGACCAAAAAAAAAAAAAAAAAAAGACUUUCUAAUACUUGUCUGCUUUCAUUUAAACAUAACGUAAGUUUUCCUUAGUACUUUUUCAUUUUAUUCAAGUACUUUUUCUGUCAGCAUUUUAUCAAAAACAUUUUGAUUAUUUUAAGCCCCUGUUUACCUAAAUAAAGCAGCUUCUACAAUGUUCUGAGUAUACUUUAUAUGACUUAUUCUUAACAUUCUCUUCAUGCCAUGCAUCAUUUUUAACACUAAAUAAUUCUAUAAUCAUGAAUAUUUUCAAUGUUUAAUACAGUAUGUAUUUGCAGCAGCACUCCUCUGAAGGGGGCACCGACGCAGGGAGUCUGUCCCUUGCAGACCUCUGACCCGGCGACAGAUGAAUAAAGUACAUUGACACACAGAUAUUCUGCUCUGUCAGUCCAGCUGAGGGUGUCCAAGUGGCUUACAGACUCCCUGCUGAGUUCUGUAAACAGUUGCCACUAUGGCCCUGAUCAGCUAGUCAGACUCACAAUUAUUCAGUAAGAUUAAUUAACAAAAGCUUGGGUCAACACCAUUAGAGGGUAAUUGACAUUGUGGACUUCCCGAGUAAAAAGCCCUUAAGCACCUGUGGUACAUCAAAGGUUAGUCUUAAGAUUAUAUGAGUAAAUUAGCUAGCUAGGUAAACUACUCUGCCUUCCUUUAUGACUACUUUAAUUUGUUUAACUAAAGGUGAAGAUCAGGUUGCCUUCAACCAUAUCUAUUACCAAAAUUAUGCAAACUUCUCAGUCUUCCAAGCAGAUUUGUGUCUAUCUCUAUAACUAUCUCUAAUAUUUUUCCCACCAGCCUGAUUGAAUUCCAACUUGUGUUAUGGCAGGUAGCAAGUGUAUUAUAUUUUGUUUGAUGUGCCUUCUUGGUUUUUGGUGAGGAAGAUAAAGUAAGAUAUUUUUAAGUGAGUUGCUUCUUGAAAUAUGCAGAUAAGUGUAUAUUUUUGUCAAUAUUAUUUAUUUUUUCAUGCUCAGUAACUGAGUCAAUAGCUGCAUGAAGAUAACAGGUAAGUUUUGAUCUAGAUAGCAUAUGUGAGGUUUUCUAUCAAAAUGUUGUGAUUUUCAAUAUGUGCCUAUCCUUAAAUCAAAUUGCCUUUGAAGCCAGAGAUUGAGUUUAAAAAUAUUUUAAUUAGGAAAUUUUAUGCCUCUUUUGAUUUUAAAAUUGAAAUUAUCUAUUGAUACUACUUUUAACAGAGUCUCUUUGAGAGUUCUACAAAGAUUCAAGUGUGUACACCUGAGUCUAUUUAUCAAAGUGUAACGAAGCAUAUAAAUAGAGAAGUAGAAGAGCCUCCUGAGAAGUCAUCUGCCUUCAAGCCUGCCACUGAAAUACAAAACUCUUUUCCAAAUGAAGCCUUCGAAUGCAAGAAGGAACAACUUUUGACAGCAGAUCAGAUGAUCCCAUCAGAAUCCAAACAAAAGGACAAUGAAGAAAAUUCUUGGGAUCUAGAGGUACUAUGUAUUAUCAGUGUUUUCUUAAUAUUAGUAUUGCAUGAUAUGAAAACACAAAAUCAGAGGCUUAGACUUUAUUUUCUCACUUCUGCAUAUGUCAUCCCCAAAUUAUUUUUGGUAUUUUUCAGAAUACGCUUCAUAGAGAAUCUAUGUGCUAAGUAGGUUACUACUUCAUAGUGAAAUUCUGCUAAUUUGUAGGAUUAAUUUAAGAAGCUAGUGUGGUAUAGUAUAAAAAAUAAGGCUUAGAAGUCACUAGCAAUUCACAUGGGAUCUGAAGUACGUUUGUCUAAAAGCGAAAGAAUUAUACUGAGUCCAGUUAUGGGCAAAUAUAUGAUUCUGUGAUUUAUCUAGAUGUACAAAAGUUCUAAUUGGAUUCAUAGACAGUUUAAACUGCAGUAUUGUAAAAGCUGGGACCUGAAAAGUUAAUGGCUGGGACUUUAACAUAUUGACAUAUCUUUAUUGUUCAGUAUAGAGCUGAGGGAACAUUUCAGGAAAAAGACAAGUCUGAGGAAUAGGAAACCUGGUGGGACUAUAAUAACAAGAGUAUUAGUUGACUAGUCUUUUAAAAAAUAUAAAUGAUUUUCACAAAUAGAACUCCUUGAGUCCCUUUGUGGCAGUCAAGCUGCAGCAGCGUGAGCGUCAAAUAAUAGUGAUGUAUUUUAAGGUCACAGCUGUGGAAAGACAUAGAAAGUAUCUGACCUCUUACAAAUAAGCAGCUGCUGCCUGGUGGUAACACCAAAGGGUGGAAGUCAACAGACAGGUAGAUUUUAUCUGAUUUAUCAUUAGACAAAAAAACUUUAACAUUUGUUUCUUUCAUUUAAACAUAACAUAAUUUUUUUCUUACUGCAUUUACAUUCUAUUCAGGCACUUUUUUUGUCAGCAUAGAUAUGUCAAAAACAUGUUGCUGAAUUUAGGCCCCUGUUUACCAAAAUAAAGCAGCUU